rnacentral:sRNA from 1 species
ACUAUAUGUCAUGUGUAGUAUUGAGUAUAAGAACUAGAACCGCAACUGGUUCCCAAAAGGUAAAGUAGUGUUUCCUUGUUAGAAGAAACAAAGCCAAAGGCUCAUACGGUCUUCGCCUACACCAUGAAAAUUUUGAGAAGCAAUAAGAAGCUUGGUUAGUGUUUUGGAGUCAAAUACGACUAGAUGUCAUGUGUAUGAUUGAGUAUAAGAACUAGAACCGCAACCGAUUCCCAAAAGCUAAAGUAAUGUUUCCUUGUUUGAAGAACAAAGCCAAAGACUCAUACAGACUUUGGCUACACAAUCAAAGCUUUGUGAGGCA